CGGAGUUACAAAGGACGACAUUAGACGAAUCAUCUGGAAAGAUGAAUCAAAGAAGGUAAUAAUCCUGUAGUCGAAAAUGUUGUCUCUCUUGAGUGGAUCCUGAGUACGACGGAGCACGUGAAAUUCCGUCGGAAUCUGGGAGGACCAUCUCCUAAGGCUAAAUACUCUCUAGUGACCGAUAGUGAACCAGUACCGUGAGGGAAAGGUGAAAAGCACCCCGGAAGGGGAGUGAAAUAGAACCUGAAACCGUGUGCUUACAAGUAGUCAGAGCCCGUUAAUGGGUGAUGGCGUGCCUUUUGUAGAAUGAACCGGCGAGUUACGAUUUGAUGCAAGGUUAAGCAGUAAAUGUGGAGCCGUAGCGAAAGCGAGUCUGAAUAGGGCGUUUAGUAUUUGGUCGUAGACCCGAAACCAGGUGAUCUACCCUUGGUCAGGUUGAAGUUCAGGUAACACUGAAUGGAGGACCGAACCGACUUACGUUGAAAAGUGAGCGGAUGAACUGAGGGUAGCGGAGAAAUUCCAAUCGAACCUGGAGAUAGCUGGUUCUCUCCGAAAUAGCUUUAGGGCUAGCCUCAAGUGAUGAUUAUUGGAGGUAGAGCACUGUUUGGACGAGGGGCCCCUCUCGGGUUACCGAAUUCAGACAAACUCCGAAUGCCAAUUAAUUUAACUUGGGAGUCAGAACAUGGGUGAUAAGGUCCGUGUUCGAAAGGGAAACAGCCCAGACCACCAGCUAAGGUCCCAAAAUAUAUGUUAAGUGGAAAAGGAUGUGGCGUUGCCCAGACAACUAGGAUGUUGGCUUAGAAGCAGCCAUCAUUUAAAGAGUGCGUAAUAGCUCACUAGUCGAGUGACACUGCGCCGAAAAUGUACCGGGGCUAAACAUAUUACCGAAGCUGUGGAUUGUCCUUUGGACAAUGGUAGGAGAGCGUUCUAAGGGCGUUGAAGCAUGAUCGUAAGGACAUGUGGAGCGCUUAGAAGUGAGAAUGCCGGUGUGAGUAGCGAAAGACGGGUGAGAAUCCCGUCCACCGAUUGACUAAGGUUUCCAGAGGAAGGCUCGUCCGCUCUGGGUUAGUCGGGUCCUAAGCUGAGGCCGACAGGCGUAGGCGAUGGAUAACAGGUUGAUAUUCCUGUACCACCUAUAAUCGUUUUAAUCGAUGGGGGGACGCAGUAGGAUAGGCGAAGCGUGCGAUUGGAUUGCACGUCUAAGCAGUAAGGCUGAGUAUUAGGCAAAUCCGGUACUCGUUAAGGCUGAGCUGUGAUGGGGAGAAGACAUUGAGUCUUCGAGUCGUUGAUUUCACACUGCCGAGAAAAGCCUCUAGAUAGAAAAUAGGUGCCCGUACCGCAAACCGACACAGGUAGUCAAGAUGAGAAUUCUAAGGUGAGCGAGCGAACUCUCGUUAAGGAACUCGGCAAAAUGACCCCGUAACUUCGGGAGAAGGGGUGCUCUUUAGGGUUAACGCCCAGAAGAGCCGCAGUGAAUAGGCCCAAGCGACUGUUUAUCAAAAACACAGGUCUCUGCUAAACCGUAAGGUGAUGUAUAGGGGCUGACGCCUGCCCGGUGCUGGAAGGUUAAGAGGAGUGGUUAGCUUCUGCGAAGCUACGAAUCGAAGCCCCAGUAAACGGCGGCCGUAACUAUAACGGUCCUAAGGUAGCGAAAUUCCUUGUCGGGUAAGUUCCGACCCGCACGAAAGGCGUAACGAUUUGGGCACUGUCUCAACGAGAGACUCGGUGAAAUCAUAGUACCUGUGAAGAUGCAGGUUACCCGCGACAGGACGGAAAGACCCCGUGGAGCUUUACUGUAGCCUGAUAUUGAAAUUCGGCACAGCUUGUACAGGAUAGGUAGGAGCCUUUGAAACGUGAGCGCUAGCUUACGUGGAGGCGCUGGUGGGAUACUACCCUAGCUGUGUUGGCUUUCUAACCCGCACCACUUAUCGUGGUGGGAGACAGUGUCAAGCGGGCAGUUUGACUGGGGCGGUCGCCUCCUAAAAGGU
rnacentral:rRNA from 1 species